AUGAACGCUGACAGAAUGCUUAACACAUGCAAGUCUACUUGAACUUCGGUUUGGGUGGCGGACGGGUGAGUAACGCGUAAAGAACUUGCCUCACAGUUAGGGACAACAUUUGGAAACGAAUGCUAAUACCUGAUAUUAUGAUUUUAGGGCAUCCUAGGAUUAUGAAAGCUAUAUGUGCUGUGAGAGAGCUUUGCGUCCCAUUAGCUAGUUGGAGAGGUAACGGCUCACCAAGGCGAUGAUGGGUAGCCGGCCUGAGAGGGUGAACGGCCACAAGGGGACUGAGACACGGCCCUUACUCCUACGGGAGGCAGCGGUGGGGAAUAUUGGACAAUGGACCAAAAGUCUGAUCCAGCAAUUCUGUGUGCACGAUGACGUUUUUCGGAAUGUAAAGUGCUUUCAGUUGGGAAGAAAAAAAUGACGGUACCAACAGAAGAAGUGACGGCUAAAUACGUG
rnacentral:rRNA from 1 species